UAGGGAAUAUUAGAAAUGGACGAAAGUCUGAUCUAGCAACACCGCGUGUGCGAUGAAGGCCUUCGGGUUGUAAAGCACUUUUUGGAAGGAUUAGGAAGGAAUGUACUUCCAGAAUAAGUCUCGGCUAACUACGUGCCAGCAGCCGCGGUAACACGUAGGAGGCGAACGUUAUCCGGAUUUACUGGGCGUAAAGCGCGUGUAGGUGGUUCUGUAAGUAGGGCGUGAAAGCUCCUGGCUCAACUGGGAGAGGCCGUUCUAAACUGCAGAGCUAGAGGAUGGUAGAGGGAGGUGGAAUUCCGGGUGUAGCGGUGGAAUGCGCAGAUAUCCGGAGGAACACCAGUGGCGAAGGCGGCCUCCUGGACCAUUCCUGACACUCAG
rnacentral:rRNA from 1 species